UCUCAGGGUCAUGAGUUCAAGCUCCACAUUGGGGGUAGAAUUUACUUUUUAAAAAAAGAAAGAAAGAAAAGAAGAUCUUACAGAAUUUUCAAUAGCAGUGUUAGACCCAGGGUUUAUACAAAUUAUUAUAUAAACACCAACUUGUAAAAUUUUGAAUAAUUGGACUUUCCCAUAAAAUGUACUUACCAUUGACUACUUUCAGAGAAACAUUUUGAGGUAGUAUAUUUUGAUUGCAAGUGAAAUACUGCUUGCUCCUAAAAUGUGCCAUGCCAUAGAAUACAAACAAAGUUGUAUUUGAUCUUUGACUUCUCGAAAAGAUUUAUUUUGGUUAUAGAGUUUAGUUCCCCAAACAAAUACCACAUGAAACCCCCUAUGUAUAAAGCUGUGACAGUAUGGCAGGUUUGAGAGUGGCAUGAAAUGAGUAUAGGGAGCCUGUUUCUCUAACCCCAAUCCCAUUAUCCAUGUCACCUGUUAAGAAAUCUUUUAUUAAUUCUGGAGUUUGAAGACAGUCGCUCUAGGUUACUUAUUUCCUGAUUUUCAAUCUCUAAAUAAUAAAGGUAUUUAAAAGCAUAUUCUCUCAGGGUCCACUACAGUAGUUUUUUAUUCAGGGGAGAGCUCAUGCAGCUCGGCUAUUUGCUGAUUCCAAGAAAUCCUUUCAGUGAUGAUGAUAACAUUAUAGUACAUUUUUCUAAUUAAAAUUUUAGAAGAUGCUUUUUAAAUACAUCAUACCAGUUUUUAUUCAUGGAGUUACACUCUCAGAGGUUUCCCACAGAGAAUUGAGUUUCUUAAAUGAAUCAUCAACGGGUAGAGCUAUAUAUUGCAGGAAUAUCUAUUCCUGGAAAAAUACCCCAAAUGGUGGUAUCGACUAAUAUAUUAUUAUUUCUAUUUUUUGAAAAAUGUAUAUCAAAUGGUUUUUCCAUGGAAAAGUGUAAAUUGUUUCAGCAGUUCACUGAGAAUGUCCAAAAAGACUCUUUAAAGUCUGCCUUACUCAGCUAAGAUGAGCUUGUUGUGUGUAAUAGACUUCUUUCCUAAUUACUUCUCUAAAGAAAAGGUCUUUUGAAAUAUUCCAUUCCAAAGCCUAUCAAAAGACUAAGAAACAUUUCUCAUAUAGGCAUUUCUCAUAUAAAGCCCACUAUGAUCUGUACUAAUUUGCAGUGCUCAUGUGCCACAAGAUUAUAAUUACUGUUUUUAUGCAUAUUAAAGAGAAAAAUAAAAGAUUCACAUCUGAGGCACUUUCAAAUUCAUUUCACUUCCUUUUCUUCAACUAUAUGUGAUUAUCAGGAAAGUACCUUUCAAGACAUUUAAGAAGUACUAAAGGAAAAGGAAAUAUUUUUAGGACUUCAGAAUCCAGUUAAGAUCACCAUUUCUUUAGUUGAGGUCAGAGAUGGGGAGAAUUUCCUAAGGUAGUGAAGCCAAAGUUGGAUCCUCACGUUUCUUUUCUCAUCAUCUUAAUCCAUCUGUUCACUACUCCAGCCAUUGAUACAAAGCAUAAUUUUAUCAUAAUAUAUGUGGAUGUCAAAUUGUUAACAAAAGAUAGAAAUAUUUUUCCAUCACAUUCUCCUACCAUGUCCAUGGUCCUCCUUGAAUUACCUUCCAGUAUUUACUGGGAUUCACCUACCAUUUCUGUCUAGCUUAACUUUUUCUGACUUCACCAAUUGCUGCUAGGAACGUGGCUGGUCACUCAGCAACGUAACCCAAAUCACAGGGGAAGACCUUGAAAUAUCUGGAGACUGAUCUUCUCUGAAUAUACUCAAUCUAAAGAAGUGCCAGGAAGCUGCAUCUGCUUGCUGAAAUUUUUGUCAGCUUUUGUCACGGUGGACAGUACAACUGGAGAGAAAAGAGCUCAGUACCCCAACAGGAAGUGAAGAGGAGUGUGCAAGAAUUUGAUUUGUGGUUAUCUGAAACCCACAUCUCCAAGGCUUGCUGGACCUAUCAAAAACUUCAACUUGUCAGAUUGGAUGGAUACCACAACAGUCAGAAGACCUAGAAGAGCACAGUGUUGCUGUGACUCAGUGAUGUAUAAUGCAGACCAUCUACCAGUUGGGAAAGGAAUCCGUUGUAACAGGAACAAAGGGAUCCAUUCCUUAUUUUAACUGUUGUUGCAGUGAAGAUGGGUUUUGGGACUUCUAAAAGCCAGAAGCCAGGAGAGACCACCUAAACUACAAGAUAAAAACCAAGGACUCAUGCACACUGGGAAGAAGAAUGCUUAGCCCUUGAAGAUUGAAUGUUGAAUACCUGCUGAAUGCUCCCACUGAGAUUUUUCUUAAACUUCAGUAACAUCUUAGGACAAAUCACUGGAGAAACAUUGAUCUCUGGGUGGAGUAUCCUACCAUUGGCCGAUCUGAAGAGUUAAAUCUGGAUUUGACUGCUCUAUUCUACCGGGAAUAUUUUUAGGCUAGCCUUUGUCUGAUCCCUAAGCAAUUGUAAUCAUUAAUUGACCCAGGAAUUUCUAAAAUAUCAGAUUAAAAGAUGAACCAGAUAAAAUUCUUAUCUAGAUACAAUUUUUAUCCCUAUUAAAGACACAAGAGUUUCUACUAUUUUGACUGACAAUAUAACUUAAGCUUUCUUUUUAGUUAGUGACAGUGGUUUCCAUUUUAAAGCUGUUUGGAUAUUCAGCGUAGUAAUUAAAUGGCUCAGUAUAAUGUAAUUGCAUAGCAAGCUAUGAUAAAUCAUUUUAGUAGUUGCAUAAACAUUUUUCUUUAUCGUAUUUAAGAAUAAUUGCAGGACUUCAAAUGCUCAUCAGGGUAAGGGUCAUUACAGUUUAGCUAAUUCAUAGUUUUAAUCUGCUUUAUAAUAAUCUGUAUUUUAACAUUGGAAUUAGGUUACAGAAUAUGGUCUUUAAAACUUUAAUUCAGGUUUGGUUUGACAGCCUUUUCUUCAUAUGCUUACCUUGGUAUUUCUGUUUAGUAAUACAUACCAAAUAGAUAAUACUCCUUGUGGCGAAGCACAUUUUUAGAAAGUUUCGUUUUUCACUUUUGGCAUUUGCUUUAUGAAUUUAGUACUUGGACAGGCAACAAAGGUCUAUUUUGUACCAGCUCCGUUAGUCAAGGUAGAGAGAGAAAAGUGUACGACACUUGUUUGUCCUCAGGUCUUUAGCCCAAUAUGUUUUUAAGUGGAUGAAGAUGACUUUCUGCCCUCAGAUGGAAAAACUCCUAGUUAACAAGUGAGACAGUAUUAACCAAGAAAUGACAUAUCAAUGUGUGGUAUUAUCCUGGAAAAGGGGGGCAUUUAUGCAUGCAAAGCAAAUUAUAGAAGCAUAUUAUUUAUCCCACAAAGCCCAUUGGAGAUGGUCCAACAAAUGUUUGAGAAGCACAAAAAAGGGAGAAGUUUAUGAUUAACAAAAACAUGGUUUCAGUGCUGAAGAAGUGAGAGAUCAGAGUGAGCUAGAAAGAACAAUAAUGAGGCAGCUAUAAGAGUUUGCAAGGGGGUGCACCAAGGGGCACAGACACCUCGAAGGAUGGCUGUUGGUGAGAGGAGGUGGUACUGAUGGGAUUUUCAUGUUGAGAAGUAGGCGUAUUUCCUUUCUGCUUUUAGCCAUAGAUAAAGCUUGUAGGUAAUAGAGAUCAGCAUUUCUUCUAGUGGUCUUUAGCCACAGAUGAGACAUGCAGCUAUUAUUACCUGAAGCUGUUUUCUAUUCAAACCUGCCUGGAUGUGGAAGUCUUAGAGUCUAAUUGUGUGGGAGGAGGGUGGUAGUUAUAUGGUGGGAAGGCUUAAGAAAUAAAUAAAGC